GCGUAACGCGUGGGAAUCUGCCCUUCGGUUCGGAAUAACAGUGGGAAACUAACUGCUAAUACCGGAUAAUGACGUAAGUCCAAAGAUUUAUCGCCGAAGGAUGAGCCCGCGUAGGAUUAGCUAGUUGGUGGGGUAAAAGCUCACCAAGGCGACGAUCCUUAGCUGGUCUGAGAGGAUGAUCAGCCACACUGGGACUGAGACACGGCCCAG
rnacentral:rRNA from 1 species